AGCGAAACCAUUUUUUUCUAUUCUGUUUUGUUCUGGUUGUUCCAAGACCGUUUUGUCGUGUUCAGUGAAGCAAAAGGUCUUUUGCGUAUGUUCAUCCUUAAUAUCCGUCGUAUCAGCGUUGGCACAAUCAUAUUCAUUCAAUGGAGUCGACGCUGAUCCACAAUUAAUAAACUCUUCACAGCGGCUGCUUGUUUUUACAUCUCCAGCAAUACUUCUGGUUUUGUUUGCUGUGUGGUUAUAACAACGGUCAGACAAAUGCGAUGAUGCACUGUCCGCUUCCACUUGGGCCACGCUACCCGAUGUUGAUGAGGGCUGCUCAGACACAGUGUUUUUCUGCUGUCGAUUUCUAUGGUUUCCGUCAUCAAAGUUGUUUUGCUAGAAACAUUAAAUAAAUAUUUUAUGUUCACCAGUAACUACUCUUGCUGUUGACGAUGGUGUUAUUUGUCCAGGUAAAUCGUUUAGAUUAGCAUGAACGUCAUUUAGGCUUAAGGCGGCAGCGCUUGCAGCGUGGCUCAUAGUAAACCCGGUGGCAG